UACGUAGGGGGCAAGCGUUAUCCGGAUUUAUUGGCUUUAAAGGGUGCGUAGGCGGCUUAUUAAGUCAGUGGUGAAAGCUCCAUGCUUAACAUGGAAAUUGCCAUUGAUACUGAUGAGCUUGAGUAUAUUUGAAGUGGGCGGAAUGUGUCGUGUAGCGGUGAAAUGCUUAGAUAUGACACAGAACACCGAUUGCGUAGGCAGCUCACUAAACUAUAACUGACGCUGAGGCACGAAAGCAUGGGGAUCAAACAGG
rnacentral:rRNA from 1 species